CCCAGGUUCUGCAACUUCUCCAUCAGGAUUGUGGGAAUGAUGGUAUUAAAGGCUGAGUUAUAGUCAAUGAACAACAUCCUGACAUUGGCGACAUCGUCAAAGUGACCAGAAUGAACAUCAGUGGCCAGUGGGAGGGUGAAGUGAAUGGUCGGCAAGGACUCUUCCCCUUCACUCAUGUCCAGAUCAUCGACCCCCAGAAUCCUGAGGAGAAUGAGUGACCUGAAGGUCUGAACAUUUGGUCACCUCCAUCUGCCUGUUCAUCACACAGUCAGCAUCAACAUUUGGUGCAUUGCUUCCAGAUUAAAGGGGGACACAUCAUUUUGCAAUGGAAAAGCGAUUGGUUUUUUGAGUAUCUGCUUAGCUGCUGGAAUUUAACGUUUCUGUCUGAGCUGUUCCCAUUUCCCAUUAAAACAACACCAUUACUAACCAGUGGAAAUAGAGGAGAGGAACAGCGUCAGUCCCGGUGCCUCAGAUUGGAACUUGUAGUCAACUGGGAUAAGUGUGUAGUUGGCCAAGCCCCGAAAACUUGGAACACUCAAAUGGAUAUUCCUCCUUCCUAUGUUUAUCAAUAGUGGCAUGCAGGGAUGUGACUGAGACUCAAUACUGCAUUAUCCUGAACAGUGUCACAGCUGAAUGAAUGAGGAUCUGAACUCACCAGAAUGUUUUUCAAUCGUUUUCAAUACAACGUACAUAUAUAUAUAUAUAUUAGCCAGUUGUGCUGCAAACAACAUGUAGAGGAGUCACCAAUGUUUUUGGAUGCAAUCAGAUAGAUAGCUGUAGAUAACAAUCAUGGAUGUCUGUUAUACAAUUCUGUCACACCUGUAAAACAAGCUUUUAAAGGGGAAACACUCUGAAUAGACAGCAACAGAAUUAAUCAUCCAGAAAAGUUGCCUGCAGGAGUCAACAUACAUUUUGUGGAGUUGGGCAGUAUCAACCAAGACGUUUUGGGUUUGAAAGCGGGUAUUCUGCAGACUUGCCUGGGGACUCGUGUUUCACUCAAUGAGGAGCUGUUCGUAUCUCGGAAUAGGAAGGCCAGGGUUCCACUUUUAACAAUUAUCCUUGUCUGUUGUUCAGGAAAUUUAGAAACCUACGAAGCAGGCAGAAACUAUUCCCAUGGAAAUAUGUGCCUUUUUGUUUUGGAAAUAAUUUCCAAAGUGAAAGUUUCUUAAUCUACCACCUUGAUGGCUGAUGUUGUGUGUCAGACAAGAAUAAGUGCAUUAUUAACCACGUGCGUCCCACUGCCCUAUCAGUAGUGCUGAUCUAGUGCAGGUGAUGAUGGCAGCAGUUGAGUUUGCUUCGUGGCUGACACACUUCCUCACGUACACAAUGUGCAAGUGCACAGCCUCUCAAAAAAAAGCUAUCCUUUGACAGAACAAUCCAAUCUCAAACUGAGCUUUCUUUGACUUCUAUCCUCAGUUUUAGUUGAUUUUAUUUGAAGUUCAAGACUACAUUAAUACAUGUGCACUGAAUUAAUGAGCUGUGUGAGAAUAUUGUUAACUACGGUGCAACACUAAAAGCUGAGGCUUGUCACCCUGCCACACCUAUUAAUGGCUGCCCAUUUGGGCUUGGUCAGUAAUACCAACACAGAUAAUACCUGUUGAGUAAUUAUACAGAAAUUGUCCACCACGACCACAGGACUCAGAGGGGAAGGAUUCUUCUCUGGGAAGGUCAGUUGAUCAUUGGUUUCCAAUAUUUCAGCAGUGGUGGGUGAAUAAAUGGUGGCAGCCACGCAUGGGCAGGUGAGAAAUUGUUGCUAACUGGAUUUUCUUCAGAUAGGGUGGUUAUUUUAAUCUGUUUUGUGGCCCCUUGAAUAGUGUUUGACAAGUGGGCAUGAUUGUUGAUCAGGUUCAUAUUUCACAGAGCAUUAAACAAAUGCCUUGGUAGUUCUGCUGCAGGGGAGGGGGAAAUGUCACCAUCAAACCAAAGUAUGUACCUAGUGCCUAAAAAUCUGGAGCUGUGGAAGGAACCAGGUUGAAGUAGAUUAGGUAUCACAGUCCUGUCUGCUUAGAAGUGGGUUUUUAGAACUUGAGCAAAUACAAGAAUCAGUAAAAAGAUGUUUUGAAUAUCUGUUUCAUAUUCCUCCAGCUGUGAUUCUGGACUUGCUGUGUGAACAGGUCUUGGGUCAUAAUGAAACAGCAAUGUUCAUCCAGUGCACUGUUCAACACAAUCAUUCAAUGUUUUGAUGUCUCUAUGCAUCUGCUGAUGGUAAUAUUUUCGGCCUAGUUUGUUUUUUUUCCUUCAUCAAACCACUAUGGAUCCCUUGGCUUGCCUGCCAAGUUAUUACACUGGACUCCUGAAAUUGUGUCUAGUUGCCUGGAAUACAUUGAGGAUGGGUGAUGUUCUUAUAGCUCUCUGAAUGGGUUCCAGUUUCUGAGUGUUUCCCCUUUACAAGUUGAUAGCACAUGGCCCGCUUCUGUUCCUGCUUAGUUUAUGUCCGUUCACAAUAUUUUAAUUAGGCUUGUGCCAUGGGAAGGAAAUAAAGCUGGUAUUUGGUUCUGGAAGGUGUCAAACACUGAGUGCAGCCUGAAGCUGAACCAAACUGUGCAGGGCAGAUGUACCCACCUUCACUUGCUUGCCUUCCCACUACAUCUGUUGCCAAUAAAACUUGUUUACAACACUUCAAACUUGCAGAAGUUUUUAAUGCUUAGAUGAUCACAAAAUACCUCUGGUCUAUGUGCAUGUUAGUGACACUUUUAUUUUUGUAGAGAGCUUUUGAUGUGUGUUCCAGAAGCGCCAUUGAAUGCCUUUUAUUUAACCUUCUGGGAAUGGAGAGCAUUUGCCUGAGGAACAGUUCAUGUCAUGUCUAACCUUUGACUGAAUAAAUCUUGUAUUUUAAAUGCAAGUGCCAAGAACUAAGCUUUGCUUGCAACCCCAGUAAAUCCAUAAAAUACCCUUAACUGGGCAGUUUUGAAUCUUUUGAUUUGUUUCAGAAGUUAACAGUAUUACAAAUUGGCCUUUUUUUCAGGGGACAUUAAGAGUAUGUUUUACUUUUUGUUCACAAUGUAGUGUCUUAGUUUUCUUCACUGAAUUCAAUUGUGGAAGUAUCCCAGCAGAUCAGUGUGUUGCUGGUUUGUAUAUAGCAAAUAAACUUUACAUUAAUCUACAA